rnacentral:rRNA from 1 species
AUUGAACGCUGGCGGCAGGCCUAACACAUGCAAGUCGAGCGGAUGAAGGGAGCUUGCUCCUCGAUUCAGCGGCGGACGGGUGGGUAAUGCCUAGGAAUCUGCCUGGUAGUGGGGGAUAACGUCCGGAAACGGGCGCUAAUACCGCAUACGUCCUGCGGGAGAAAGUGGGGGACCUUCGGACCUUGCGCUAUCAGAUGAGCCUAGGUCGGAUUAGCUAGUUGGUGGGGUAAAGGCCUACCAAGGCGACGAUCCGUAACUGGUCUGAGAGGAUGAUCAGUCACACUGGAACUGAGACACGGUCCAGACUCCUACGGGAGGCAGCAGUGGGGAAUAUUGGACAAUGGGCGAAAGCCUGAUCCAGCCAUGCCGCGUGUGUGAAGAAGGUCUUCGGAUUGUAAAGCACUUUAAGUUGGGAGGAAGGGCAGUAAGUUAAUACCUUGCUGUUUUGACGUUACCAACAGAAUAAGCACCGGCUAACUUCGUG